UGCGUAGGCGGUUUAUCAAGUCAGGGUGAAGGACUACGGCUCAACCGUAGUGAGCCUCUGAAACUGGUGAACUUGAGUGUAGGAGAGGAAAGUGGAAUUCCCAGUGUAGCGGUGAAAUGCGUAGAUAUUGGGAGGAACACCAGUGGCGAAGGCGACUUUCUGGACUACAACUGACGCUGAGGCACGAAAGCGUGGGGAGCAAACA
rnacentral:rRNA from 1 species